CACAGGAAGAACUCUAAUAUGCUCUCAAGUAGGUCUCUCUUAUUUGCCUCUGCAGACUUCAGCUCUAAAUACCUCAGGGUGAAAUGUGUCUGAGCAUUUCAACACCUAGCAAAUAUUAACUACCUCAGAACAGAUUAGAACAACAAGGCUUGGAGGGUGCCUUUAUGCUGCAGCCUGUGAAGAUGAAAAGUCUCAAACCCGAGCAACAUUGUGGUCACUGCCUACUGGAAGUAAGCUCGGUAAUCUGAAUGGCAACCACCAUUUCAGGAAGCCAAAAAGUUGCUGUGGUGCUGACCAAAGAGGUUGUUGUGUCUCAUAUGCCAUGAUUACCACCUCUGACCUGCCAGUGCAGAUCAGCUGCUUGAUCCAACGGCCAUACUUCCUCCUUAUAAAGAUAACA